UAGGGAAUCUUCGGCAAUGGACGGAAGUCUGACCGAGCAACGCCGCGUGAGUGAAGAAGGUUUUCGGAUCGUAAAGCUCUGUUGUAAGAGAAGAACGAGUGUGAGAGUGGAAAGUUCACACUGUGACGGUAUCUUACCAGAAAGGGACGGCUAACUACGUGCCAGCAGCCGCGGUAAUACGUAGGUCCCGAGCGUUGUCCGGAUUUAUUGGGCGUAAAGCGAGCGCAGGCGGUUAGAUAAGUCUGAAGUUAAAGGCUGUGGCUUAACCAUAGUACGCUUUGGAAACUGUUUAACUUGAGUGCAAGAGGGGAGAGUGGAAUUCCAUGUGUAGCGGUGAAAUGCGUAGAUAUAUGGAGGAACACCGGUGGCGAAAGCGGCUCUCUGGCUCGUAACUGACGCUGAGGCUCGAAAGCGUGGGGAGCAAACAGGAUUAGAUACCCUGGUAGUCCACGCCGUAAACGAUGAGUGCUAGGUGUUAGACCCUUUCCGGGGUUUAGUGCCGUAGCUAACGCAUUAAGCACUCCGCCUGGGGAGUACGACCGCAAGGUUG
rnacentral:rRNA from 1 species